UACAGAGGGUGCGAGCGUUGUUCGGAAUUACUGGGCUUAAAGGGUCCGCAGGCGGACCAGCAAGUACCUUGUGAAAUCUCAGGUCUCAACCUGAGUCUGCUAGGUAGACUGCUGGUCUUGAGUGCAAAAGGGGUCGCUGGAACUCUAGGUGGAGCGGUGAAAUGCGUAGAUAUCUAGAGGAACGCCAAAGGUGAAGACAGGCGACUGGUUUGCGAACUGACGCUCAUGGACGAAAGCGUGGGGAUCAAACGGG
rnacentral:rRNA from 1 species